AGUUGUCGAUCGUGGCUCAGGACAUAACGCUGGCGGCGUGCAUAACACAUGCAAGUCGAACGAAAUCUACAUGAUUUAGUGGCGAACGGGUGAGUAACACGUGAGAAACCUGCCUUACACAGAGGGAUAGCCGUUGGAAACGACGAUUAAUACCUCAUGACACCGUGACAUCGCAUGAUGAUGCGGUCAAAGAUNUUAUCGGUGUAAGAUGGUCUCGCGCCUGAUUAGCUGGUUGGUGGGGUAACGGCCUACCAAGGCGACGAUCAGUAGCCGAUCUGAGAGGGUGGACGGCCACAUUGGGACUGAGACACGGCCCAAACUCCAUACGGGAGGCAGCAGUGGGGAAUUUUGCACAAUGGGGGAAACCCUGAUGCAGCGACGCCGCGUGAACGAAGAAGGCCUUCGGGUUGUAAAGUUCUGUCCUUGGUGAAGAUAAUGACAGUAACCAAGAAGAAAGCCCCGGCUAAAUACGUGCCAGCAGCCGCGGUAAUACGUAUGGGGCGAGCGUUGUCCGGAAUUAUUGGGCGUAAAGGGUACGUAGGCGGUUAUUUAAGUCCAUAUUAAAAGGCAUUGGCUCAACCAAUGUAAGGUGUGGAAACUGGAUAACUUGAGUAGAUGAGGGGAAAGUGGAAUNCCAAGUGUAGCCGGUGAAAUGCGUAGAUAUUUGGAGGAAUACCGGUGGCGAAGGCGACUUUC
rnacentral:rRNA from 1 species